rnacentral:rRNA from 1 species
CCUACGGGAGGCUGCAGUGAGGAAUAUUGGUCAAUGGGGGAGACCCUGAAGCAGCAACGCCGCGUGGGGGAGUAAGGUUUUCGGAGUUUAAACUCCCUUUUGUAGAGAAGAUAAUGACGGUAUCUUACGGAUAUGCACCGGCUAACUCCGUGCCAGCAGCCGCGGUAAUACGGAGGGUGCAAGCGUUACUCGGAAUCACUGGGCGUAAAGAGCGCGUAGGGGGAUAGCAAGUCAGAUGUGAAAUCCUAGGGACUAAACCUAGAACUGCAUUUGAAACUGUUAUUCUAGAGUAUGGGAGAGGUAGGUGGAAUUCUUGGUGUAGGGGUAAAAUUCGUAGAGAUCACGAGGAAUCCUGAUUGCGAAGGCGACAUGCUAGAACAUAACUGACGCUGAUGCGCGAAAGCGUGGGGAGCGAACAGGAUUAGAUACCCUUGUAGUC